AGCAGUGUGGUGAGCACAAAGUGAGGAGUUACUUCCUCUGAAGAAUACUUCCUCUUAAGUUUUAGCCCUUUACUAAAGAAUACCGUGUGCUCUCCACUUCAAACGGCAUACAACUAUUUUUGGAGGAGUUACUUCCUCUGAAGUUU